UGGGGAAUAUUGGACAAUGGGCGCAAGCCUGAUCCAGCAAUGCCGCGUGAGUGAUGAAGGCCUUCGGGUUGUAAAGCUCUUUCGCACGCGACGAUGAUGACGGUAGCGUGAGAAGAAGCCCCGGCUAACUUCGUGCCAGCAGCCGCGGUAAUACGAAGGGGGCUAGCGUUGUUCGGAAUUACUGGGCGUAAAGGGCGCGUAGGCGGCCUGUUUAGUCAGGAGUGAAAUCCCCGGGCUCAACCUGGGAAUUGCUUUUGAUACUGGCAGGCUUGAGUUCCGGAGAGGAUGGUGGAAUUCCCAGUGUAGAGGUGAAAUUCGUAGAUAUUGGGAAGAACACCGGUGGCGAAGGCGGCCAUCUGGACGGACACUGACGCUGAGGCGCGAAAGCGUGGGGAGCAAACAGAUUAGAUACCCUGGUAGUCCACGCCGUAAACGAUGAAUGCUAGACGCUGGGGGGCUUGCCUUUCGGUGGUCGCCGCUAACGCAUUAAGCAUUCCGCCUGGGGAGUACGGCCGCAAGGUUAAA
rnacentral:rRNA from 1 species